rnacentral:misc_RNA from 1 species
GAUGAAGAACGCAGCGAAAUGCGAUAAGUAAUGUGAAUUGCAGAAUUCAGUGAAUCAUCGAAUCUUUGAACGCACAUUGCGCCCGCCAGUAUUCUGGCGGGCUUGCCUGUUCGAGCGUCAUUACAACCCUCAGGCCCCCGGGCCUGGCGUUGGGGAUCGGCGGAAGCCCCCUGUGGGCACACGCCGUCCCUCAAAUACAGUGGCGGUCCCGCCGCAGCUUCCAUUGCGUAGUAGCUAACACCUCGCAACUGGAGAGCGGCGCGGCCAUGCCGUAAAACACCCAACUUCUGAAUGUUGACCUCGAAUCAGGUAGGAAUACCCGCUGAACUUAAGCAUAUCAAUAAGCGGAGGA